GGAAACGGUCACUUUUUUUUUGGAAACAUACGCGUGGCUGCACGAAAAUUAUCAGAACAAAUAAAAUUACAAAAUUGUGGUCGUCAUGUCAACUCUGGUCGUUUCUCUUCAUGGAAUAAUAGAUUAACACACACUCCAUGCUGUUUAGUAGGCCACUGCCAGCCAUCGUAGCCAAAAGAGAUAUAUGCCAGUUUUGCUUAAUUGUCUUCGUAUCACCAGCAAUCUCAGUAUCACCACUUGGAUAAACAGCAUACCGGUUGAUUGGAAAAACUACCGAUGUCGGAGUAGAGUUACGGAUUUCUUCAUUCCCUUUCUUUUCCACGUGCAGCCCAUGUGAUUGUGGGUGUAUUCACGAGGACGUCAUUUUCUCCAUAUCCCGCCUGGUGGAUUCAACUAUUCUUCGGAUGGAGCCCUUGUGGAUGUCUGGCUGUAUUUCCCAGGCUUAAAGGUAGGGCAAAUUGAUCUCUAUUCUUCCUUUUGAGUAUUUGGUUGCGUUGAUUGUACUAA